GCAGGCCCAGCCUCUGUCACCAGUCAGUCUCCUGUUCCAUGCAAACUCUAUUCUUCCUCUUGGAUUGUCUUUCAACCUGACAUCAUCAUCAGUGCAAGUGAAGGUUACCUCUGGAGCCUUCAGGUGAAGCUUGAGCCUGUGGUGAACCUCUUGCCAGAUAAAGGCAAGCUGAUGGGUUUC